UGUAGCUUCAACGAUGAGGCAUAUAUGUCAACUAUGGGUGUUGGCUCCAACAAUUCGCAUUGGUCUCAAAUCAAUGACAUGCAUUUCGAUGACCAUGAGUUCUUGGUGGACGAGGAUGGUGAGGGCAUUGUCGACGCACCGAAAGGAAGAGGAGGCAACUACACCAACGAAGAAAACGUCUUACUAUGCAAUACUUGGUUGCAAGGGUCGAAGGAUCCAUCCGUUGGAGGUGAUCAAAGUAGAGAUGCUUAUUGGAACCGGAUGAAGGAGCACUUUGAUCUACACAACAAGAGUAGAAUUGACCGCUCCGACCGAUAUCUUCGCUCCGUCGACAAUCAACAAAGAUUGUCAGAAGUGGGCGGCCGCACAAAAGGCGGUUGA
rnacentral:rRNA from 1 species